UACGUAGGGUGCAAGCAUUAAUCGGAUUUAUUGGGCGUAAAGAGCGCGCAGGCGGGCUUUUAAGUCAGAUGUGAAAUCCCGGGGCUCAACCCCGGAACAGCAUUUGAAACUGAGAGUCUUGAGGGUAGUCGGAGAAAGUGGAAUUCCACGUGUAGCGGUGGAAUGCGUAGAUAUGUGGAAGAACACCGGUGGCGAAGGCGACUUUCUAGAUUAUUCCUGACGCUGAGGCGCGAAAGCAAGGGGAUCAAACAGG
rnacentral:rRNA from 1 species